CCCUUAGAUGUCCUGGGCCGCACGCGUGCUACACUGACGCCUACAGCGAGUACUUCCCAGCCCCGAGAGGCGGCUGGUAAUCAGCAAUAGGCGUCGUGAUGGGGAUAGAUCUUUGGAAUUAUGGAUCUUGAACGAGGAAUGCCUAGUAAGCGCAGGUCAUUAGCCUGCGCUGAUUACGUCCCUGCCCUUUGUACACACCGCCCGUCGCACCUACCGAUUGAAUGGUCCGGUGAAGCCUCCGGAUUGGCGCGCACCUCGGUGCCGCCGAGAAGUUGGCUAAACCUUACCAUUUAGAGGAAGGUGAANUCGUAACA
rnacentral:rRNA from 1 species